rnacentral:rRNA from 1 species
GAUGAACGCUGGCGGCGUGCCUCAAACAUGCAAGUCGAGCGGGGCUAUGUAAUAUCGCAAGGUAGAACAUAGCCUAGCGGCGAACGGGUGAGUAACACGUGGGUAACCUGCCUGGAAGACAGGGAUAACGAUUCGAAAGGGUCGCUAAUACCUGAUAAUAUCCUUUCAUCGCAUGGUGAUAGGAAGAAAGGGGAAACCCGCUUUCAGAUGGGCCCGCGUCCCAUCAGCUAGUUGGUAAGGUAAAGGCUUACCAAGGCGACGACGGGUAGCCGGUCUGAGAGGAUGUACGGCCACACUGGGACUGAGAUACGGCCCAGACUCCUACGGGAGGCAGCAGUUGGGAAUCUUAGGCAAUGGACGAAAGUCUGACCUAGCGACGCCGCGUGAGGGAAGAAGGCCUCGGUUGUAACUCUGUCAUGGGGAAGAAGUAAGUGACGGUACCCAACGAGGAAGCCCCUCGCUAACUACGUG